rnacentral:rRNA from 1 species
UACGAAGGGGGCUAGCGUUGCUCGGAAUCACUGGGCGUAAAGCGCACGUAGGCGGAUUGUUAAGUCAGGGGUGAAAUCCUGGAGCUCAACUCCAGAACUGCCUUUGAUACUGGCGAUCUCGAGUCCGGGAGAGGUGAGUGGAACUGCGAGUGUAGAGGUGAAAUUCGUAGAUAUUCGCAAGAACACCAGUGGCGAAGGCGGCUCACUGGCCGGGUACUGACGCUGAGGUGCGAAAGCGUGGGUAGCAAACAGG